rnacentral:rRNA from 1 species
AUUGAACGCUGGCGGCAUGCCUUACACAUGCAAGUCGAACGGCAGCGCGGGAGCAAUCCUGGCGGCGAGUGGCGAACGGGUGAGUAAUGCAUCGGAACGUGCCCGGUAGUGGGGGAUAACUGCUCGAAAGAGCAGCUAAUACCGCAUACGACCUGAGGGUGAAAGGGGGGGAUCGCAAGACCUCUCGCUAUCGGAGCGGCCGAGGGCGGAUUAGCUAGUUGGGGGGGUAAAGGCCUACCAAGGAAACGAUCCGUAGCUGGUCUGAGAGGACGACCAGCCACACUGGGACUGAGACACGGCCCAGAUUCCUACGGGAGGCAGCAGUGGGGAAUUUUGGACAAUGGACGCAAGUCUGAUCCAGCCAUGCCGCGUGCGGGAAGAAGGCCUUCGGGUUGUAAACCGCUUUUGUCAGGGAAGAAAUCUUCUGGGCUAAUACCCUGGGAGGAUGACGGUACCUGAAGAAUAAGCACCGGCUAACUACGUGCCAGCCGCCGCGGUAAAAC